rnacentral:rRNA from 1 species
GACGAACGCUGGCGGCGUGCUUAACACAUGCAAGUCGAGCGGUAAGGCCCUUUCGGGGGUACACGAGCGGCGAACGGGUGAGUAACACGUGGGUGACCUGCCCUCAGCUCUGGGAUAAGCCUGGGAAACCGGGUCUAAUACUGGAUAUGACUCCAUGACGCAUGUUGUGGGGUGGAAAGCCUUGUGCGGCUGAGGAUGGGCCCGCGGCCUAUCAGCUUGUUGGGGGGUGAUGGCCUACCAAGGCGACGACGGGUAGCCGGCCUGAGAGGGCGACCGGCCACACUGGGACUGAGACACGGCCCAGACUCCUACGGGAGGCAGCAGUGGGGAAUCUUGCGCAAUGGGCGAAAGCCUGACGCAGCGACGCCGCGUGAGGGAUGACGGCCUGG